rnacentral:rRNA from 1 species
GACGAACGCUGGCGGCGUGCUUAACACAUGCAAGUCGAACGGAUAGUCCCUGCUUGUGUGGGGUGCUCGAGUGGCGAACGGGUGAGUAACACGUGAGUAACCUGCCCUGUACUUUGGGAUAACUUCAGGAAACUGGGGCGAAUACCGGAUAUGAGCUCCUGCUGCAUGGUGUGGGUUGGAAAGUUUCGGCGGUUGGGGAUGUACUUGCGGCUUAUCAGCUUGUUGGUGGGGUAGUGGCUGACAAAGGCUUUGAGGGGUAGCCGGCCUGAGAGGGUGACCGGCCACAGUGGGCCUGGGAUGCGACCCAGACUCAUACGGGAGGCAGCAGUGGGGAACAUUGCACGAUGGGCGGAAGGAUGAUGCAGCAACGCCGCGUGCGGGAUGUCGGCCUUUGGGUUGUAAACCGCUUUCGCCUGUAACGAAGAGUGCGUGACGGUAACUGAUAAAGAAGCACCGGCUAACUACGUG